GUGCUCUUCCUUUCAGCGGCACGUAUACUAAAAUGGGAAUGAUACAGAGAAGAUUGGCAUGGCCCGUGCACAAGGCUGACACACAAAUUCGUGAAGCAUUUAAUUACUUA
ensembl:snRNA U6 U6 spliceosomal RNA